UACGUAUGGUGCAAGCGUUAUCCGGAAUGACUGGGUGUAAAGGGAGCGUAGACGGUUGUACAAGUCUGAUGUGAAAGCCCACGGCUCAACUGUGGGAGUGCAUUGGAAACUGUAGAACUAGAGUAUCGGAGAGGCAAGUGGAAUUCCUAGUGUAGCGGUGAAAUGCGUAGAUAUUAGGAGGAACACCAGUGGCGAAGGCGGCUUGCUGGACGAAAACUGACGUUGAGGCUCGAAAGCGUGGGGAGCAAACA
rnacentral:rRNA from 1 species